CCAGCCGCACAGAUGCCUGCGGUUGUUGCUGCUGCUAUUGCAUGGCCUGCACUACUUCGGUGAGAUCCCUGACCUACUGAACCAGCAGGUCAAACUGCUCUAUGCCGACUGCCACUGGGGACGAGGUCGGAGCCUGAAAAACUGGGGACGAGGUCGGAGCCUGCAGAUCUUAUUGAGAUCUGAUCGUGGAGGUCGUAGAUCA
rnacentral:lncRNA from 1 species